GUUAUAGUGUGGUCACACGGUUCUUACGUUUUAAUCAAAAUGUAAGAUAAAAGGGAAUAUGGUGCGUUGUUUAAUUAACCUAAACAGCAAAGCCAAAGCUGCCCCCGCAACUGUAAUCAGCGAGUUAUUUUGUGUUAAUUGCCACUGAGUAAAAUAUUAAAUAUCUAUGUUUAAUAUCCACUUGGGAAGGCUAACAAAAUAAUGAUGACCUGAAAGCCAGGAGACCUGCCGUGUGACUUUUUUGUGC
rnacentral:ncRNA from 2 species